UUAAAUAAUUUAUAUUUUUACUCAGACUGCAAUCUUCAGACAGAGUUCUAGGUGUCUUCGGCGGGCGCGGGCCCGGAGGCAGAAGCCUCCCGGCGGCCAUACGGCGGGCCCGCCGAAGCAACAAGGUAUAAUAAACACGGGUGGGAGGUUGGACCCAGAGGGCCCUCACUCGGUAAUGAUCCUUCCGCAGGUUCACCUACGGAAA
rnacentral:misc_RNA from 1 species